rnacentral:rRNA from 1 species
CGGACGGGUGAGUAACGCGUGGAAAACCUGCCGUAUACUGGGGGAUAACACAUAGAAAUAGGUGCUAAUACCGCAUAAGCGCACAGCUUCGCAUGAAGCGGUGUGAAAAACUCUGGUGGUAUACGAUGGUUCCGCGUCUGAUUAGCUAGUUGGUGGGGUAAUGGCCUACCAAGGCAACGAUCAGUAGCCGGCCUGAGAGGGUGAACGGCCACAUUGGGACUGAGACACGGCCCAAACUCCUACGGAAGGCAGCAG